AUUGAACGCUGGCGGGAGGCCUAACACAUGCAAGUCGAACGAGUGGCGGACGGGUGAGUAAUGUAUGGGAAACUGCCCGGUGGAGGGGGAUAACUACUGGAAAGGGUGGCUAAUACCGCAUACGAUCGGAUGGGCAGAGAUGGGAUUAGCUAGUAGGUGGGGUAACGGCUCACCUAGGCGACGAUCCCUAGCUGGUCUGAGAGGAUGACCAGCCACACUGGAACUGAGACACGGUCCAGACUCCUACGGGAGGCAGCAGUGGGGAAUAUUGCACAAUGGGCGCAACCCUGAUGCAGCCAUCCCGCGUGUAUGAAGAAGGCCUUCGGGUUGUAAAGUACUUUCAGCGAGGAGGCGUUACUCGCAGAAGAAGCACCGGCUAACUCCGUGCCAGCAGCCGCGGUAAUUC
rnacentral:rRNA from 1 species